rnacentral:rRNA from 1 species
AGCGAACGCUAGCGGCGGGCUUAACACAUGCAAGUCGAGCGCCCUUCGGGGAGCGGCGAACGGGUGAGUAACACGUGGCUAACCUGCCCACUGGAGGGGGAUAACCCGGGGAAACCCGGGCUAAUACCGCGUAUGGCCUACGGGUCAAAGUCUUCGGACGCCAGUGGAUGGGGCCGCGGCCCAUUAUUUAAUCCUGGUUGGUGAGGUAACGGCUCACCAAGGGUACGAUGGGUAGCUGGUCUGAGAGGACGAUCAGCCACACUGGGACUGAGACACGGCCCAGACUCCUACGGGAGGCAGCAGUGGGGAAUAUUGCGCAAUGGGGGAAACCCUGACGCAGCCACGCCGCGUGAGUGAUGAAGGCCUUCGGGUUGUAAAGCUCUGUCGGGAGGGAAGAAGUUCUGACGGUACCUCCCAAGAAAGCACCGGCUAACUCCG